rnacentral:rRNA from 1 species
UACGGAGGGUGCAAGCGUUAUCCGGAUUCACUGGGUUUAAAGGGUGCGUAGGUGGGUUGGUAAGUCAGUGGUGAAAUCCCCGAGCUUAACUUGGGAACUGCCAUUGAUACUAUCAGUCUUGAAUACCGUGGAGGUUAGCGGAAUAUGUCAUGUAGCGGUGAAAUGCUUAGAUAUGACAUAGAACACCAGUGGCGAAGGCGGCUUUCUGGGCCUAUCCUGACGCUGAGGAGCGAAAGCGUGGGGAGCAAACCGG